UGGUCAAUUAACAUACAUAAUAUAUAGAAUGAUAUGGUAUAAUGUGAGGGUGAAUUUAUUAAUAUAUGAAAAGGGUAGCUCCAUAGUCAGGAAAUGCAUUUAAUAUAUUAAUGGAGGGAUUCAUUGCUGUCCCGUGUCCACUGGCUUGCCAGUUGCCAACCAUGGUUGACCCAGUUUCUCCCAAUUAGCAAGUCUUAUUGAAAAAA
rnacentral:lncRNA from 1 species